UACGGAGGGUGCAAGCGUUGUUCGGAAUUACUGGGCGUAAAGCGUGUGUAGGCGGCUUGGUAAGUCUUAUUUUAAAUCCCUUUUCUUCACCCAGGAAGUGCAUCCGAUACUGUCAAGCUUGAGUCCUGGAGAGGGGUGUGGAAUUCCCGGUGUAGAGGUGAAAUUCGUAGAUAUCGGGAGGAACACCAGUGGCGAAGGCGACACCCUGGAUGGAGACUGACGCUGAGACA
rnacentral:rRNA from 1 species